rnacentral:rRNA from 1 species
UACGGAGGGGGCUAGCGUUGUUCGGAAUUACUGGGCGUAAAGCGCACGUAGGCGGCUUUGCAAGUUAGAGGUGAAAGCCCGGAGCUCAACUCCGGAAUUGCCUUUAAAACUGCAUCGCUAGAAUUGUGGAGAGGUAAGUGGAAUUCCGAGUGUAGAGGUGAAAUUCGUAGAUAUUCGGAAGAACACCAGUGGCGAAGGCGACUUACUGGACACAUAUUGACGCUGAGGUGCGAAAGCGUGGGGAGCGAACAGG